ACACACUUAUAUAAGCGUCCGCGGCGUCCAGCCAGAACUCUUAUCCUCUGGAGGCCAUGGCGGGGCUGCUCCGUUGCUUCCCUUCGCCGCCGCGCCUGAAGCCCACCGUGGUUCUCCGGCGGUUCGGUGGAGUCCUUACGUCGGAAAAAAUGGUGCCUCUCGCAUUUAGAAAGGAAAAGGUAGCAGUGUUUUCAAUUUGCGUUCGGGCAUCCGAGAAAUACCAAAUCCCAUCAAGCAGCAUGUUCACAUACUGUACCGGAGAUGUUUUUCCAGUGGCUAAUUCAAAGGAAGUUUAUGAUGAUGAUGGGAAAAUACCUGAUCUUUGCCAUGCCAUGAUGAAAUACAAAUCCAAGCAUCAGAAAGUUGUGUCACUCAACUUCCUGAGAGCAUUUGCUCUCACAAAUUCAUUGAUGCUCAUUCUGCCUUCUAAAGGUUUGGCAGAAACAUGCGAGGCCGAUAAUUCAUUUUUCAACAUGCCUCUGCUGUUUGCAAUAGCCAUGAUAGGGGCUACUGUUGGGGGACUUCUUGCACGGCAAAGAAGAGGUGAACUCAAGCGAUUGAAUGAUCAGCUACGCCAGAUUAAUGCGGCACUAAGAAGACAAGCAAAGAUAGAAUCCUAUGCUCCUAACUUGAGCUAUGCACCAGUUGGUAGUAGGAUGGCAGAAUCAGAAGUCAUUGUUGAUCCUAGGAAGGAGCAGUUAAUUAGCAAUCUGAGAACUGGGAAAAACUAUCUGAGAAGUCAAGAUCCAGAAAAGGCGUUUGCAGAGUUUAAGGCUGCUCUUGAACUUGCACAAGCUUUGGGAGAUUACGUUGAGGAGAAGAAGGCAGCCCGAGGAUUAGGAGCAAGUUGUUGCUAAACAUCUGCAAUCGCUAUUGGUGUGAUCACAUCAUUCCAGAGCGUUGAGGAAUAAAUUUGGACCAGAGUCCAAUUUUAUUAUCUGUAAACAAAUUUGGACGCUGCGCUUUCUCAGCAAGCAGUGUGGGCAAGCCAGCUCCGAAAUAGUACUCCUUGCAGUUACAGUGCAUUGCAGUGCGAUGAUAGCCACUUGAUAGAAGUUUACUGGCUUCGGGGCAUCUCUACAGAGACAGGGGAAGUACAGGGAAGCCAUAAAGUACCAUUCCUUGGUUUUGGAUAUAUCCAAGAGAGUAGGAGAGGAUUCUGGCAUCACGGAAGCUUAUGGAGCAAUAGC